rnacentral:rRNA from 1 species
UACGUAGGGUGCGAGCGUUGUCCGGAAUUAUUGGGCGUAAAGAGCUCGUAGGCGGCUUGUCGCGUCGGAUGUGAAAGCCCGGGGCUUAACUCCGGGUCUGCAUUCGAUACGGGCAGGCUAGAGUUCGGUAGGGGAGAUCGGAAUUCCUGGUGUAGCGGUGAAAUGCGCAGAUAUCAGGAGGAACACCAACAGCGAAGGCAGAUCUCUGGGACGUAACUGACGCUGAGACGCGAAAGCGUGGGGAGCAAACAGG